CUCGUUCUCUCUCUCUCACACUCUCUCGAACCCUAGCCUCCAAUCCCUAAUUGAAGAUCAAGGCUUCCUGAACGCGGGGUACAGAUUAAAUUUCAUCUUUGUUUUCACGAUUUCCCUCAAAACAAAACCCAGAUCCUCUUCCCUGCCAUAAUUUUUCUUCGCCCUGGCUCUUCUUUGCCUUUGUUCGUCUUCAUCGUAGCUUCUGCCACCGCAGUUCCUCUUGUCACCGCCAUAUCUCUUCCUCAACGAAGGGCAGCAAUACUCUAUUUUCGCUUCUCAUAAACCCAUAGUGCUAUCGCAAAGUUUUUUAUGCUAAGGAAGUGUCAACUUGGUAGGAAGUGUCAACUUUCUCUUGCCAGAUUUCUUCACAUAAUUGAGGCUCUUGCAGAAUCUAUGAGACUUCACAAACUCUUCACGGAGCAUUUGUGACGAUCUUCAAAAACUCUCGUGAUUCUUCGAUGGGAAGACAUAACUCUUAGUGUCCUUCCUUUCCAAUCGAAUUCACUC